UGAGGAAUUUUGCGCAAUGGGGGAAACCCUGACGCAGCAACGCCGCGUGGGUGAUGAAGGCCUUCGGGUCGUAAAGCCCUGUCGGGCGGGAAGAACGUCCCUUCGGGGAAUGACGGUACCGCCAGAGGAAGCACCGGCUACCUCCGUGCCAGCAGCCGCGGUAAUACGGCGGGUGCAAGCGUUAUUCGGCAUUACUGGGCGUAAAGGGCGUGCAGGCGGGCGAGCAAGUCUGAUGUGAGAGCCCGGGGCUUAACCCCGGAAGGGCAUUGGAAACUGCUUUUCUUGAGUUCUGUAGAGGAAGGGAGAAGUCCCGGUGUAGAGGUGAAAGUCGGAGAGAGCGGGAGGAACAUCAGUGGCGAAGGCGCCCUUCUGGACAGCAACUGACGCUGAGACGCGAAAGCGUGGGGAGCAAACA
rnacentral:rRNA from 1 species